UAGUGGGAAAAAAAUUGGGAACGUAAGAGAAGCGCCUGAAUAUAUUUCAUUGUGUCCUCAAAUGUCUCAUAGGUUUGAGCUUCUAGAUUAUCCAUGAGAGGCUGCAUUAGAAUAGCAGAGUUGGCCUAACUUGUAGCUUAUUACAAGAGGAAGGAAAAUCACAUGUAAAAAUGAAAAUGUAGGAAAAGGGAUUAAGGUAUGUACUAUAAUAAUAAUAAAAUAAAUGUACUAACUGCAAAAAAUAAAUAGUAAAAAUUAAGCAACAAUUGAACCAAUAUGGCUGACUGCAAGUAAUCCCUGUAAGAUUGCAAAGAACCCCUAUUACACAGCAGCAUAUUAAUUACAUCAGUACUCAAUAUGGCUGCUCUAACAGAUUCCCCAAACCAGCGUCCAAGAGAGUUUACAAAAGGUCGUGAACUUCUGAGGAAAAAAGAAAGUUGUUCAGAUUAAAAUAAAAUGAAAAUUACUCCAGGCACAAUCAAAACACAUAAACACAAAUUACACAAGUUAAAAGAAAAUGGACAUUGUUACACUUACAAAACAUCAAGAGCAACUGAUAACUGACUAUGAUGUUCACAUAUCAGAUGAAAUGAAUUCCAAAUCUCCCAAGAAUCAUCCUGCAAAAAAUAAUGUUAAGAAAAAUGAGUUUUAUCACUAUGAUGUUCACAUAGCAGAUGAAAUGAAUUCCAAAUCUCCCAAGAAUCAUCCUGCAAAAAAUAAUGUUAAGAAAAAUGAGUUUUAUCAUCUGGUAUGUCAAAUUGUCAAUCAUCAUGCCGUUAUUUUACACACAUAAAGAAGGCCAAGUUUAUGCAGAAGGUUUAAAUCCCAUAUAAGUUUGACUACCCAACUGAAUGCACAAUAAAAAAGAGGCAACUCUCCACACCUGACCUCCCUAUUUGGUAUACAACAUCUAACAACAAAGCCUUUACACGGACUACAACAGAAGACAAAGUACUACACAUCCCAACUCGUAAUGCUUUAGUAGAUUUAGCACAAGAGUUAUCAUUUUGUAGGGUCAACGAGAGCCAUAUGCAACAGAGGUUGAAAAUCUAUGUAAAGUGUAGUAUAUAUUGGCCAAGAGUCAUGACUCAAGUUGAAAAACCAGUCGCUGGAAACUACGACUUCCACCAAAAGAAGGAAAAUAAUUAUCAAAAUGGUAAACCUGUUUUGAAAACUUAAAUGAGAAGGUACCUCAUUCACCCAUGGAAGCCGCAACCACAACUACAAUAGAACAUAACAAGAACAGAAAACCCAAUGAGCUCCAAAAGUAGAUUAAACAAACAGGUCGAAAUAUGUACACUGAUUUGGAUUCACAAUGGUACCUGUGUACUGCUUAUGCCCUGUAAAAGCUGAUUUGCACAUCGAGCAUAAUUAGCACAGGAUUUCCCCUUUGGAGCUGGAAGAAGGCAUGCCUGCACCAAGCAAUAGAUGACAAUUAAAAGCCAGCAAGACAGUAAAACUCAAUAACCAUUUUCCAGAAUCAAUUAUUAGCAAAGCACGCAGAAAAUUAUUCAGCUUAGCAUGCGGCCUGAGAUAGCAAAUCAAAUAUUUCACAACACUGCAGUUCCAAUAAAUAAGGAUUCGACGUAACUGUGGAGGGCCGGCUGUCGACUACCUGACGCCCUCCCCCUCCUCCUUUAUCCGGGCUUGGGACCGGCAAUGUAAGAUAAACUUACAUAGGCGGAGUUACUGCAGUUCCAAUAAAUAAACAAACAAAUUUCAAUGCUAUCAACCUGCAGGGACAAAUGAGAAGCCCAUCCUAUCUCUUGCUUCAAAGUAGUUUCUGAAUCGCACCGGAGGAUCUCAUCUUCUGAAUCCAAGUCAAUCCAUGAGCUAACCUUUCCUGAAUAAAUUCAAAAAACCACUACGAGCAGUCAUAGGAGACAAGGAAAUAUGUGGUUGAAAAGUAAACAAGCUUAUCCCAUCAAAUCCAUUAUUAUCCAGCCAAGUUCUUAGUAAACAUAAAACAUAAGUUGAGUAAAGUCCAUUAAAUUACCAAGAGAAGACAAUGUAACACAACAAAAGUCUACAGAAGUACAUACCAACAACAUGACCGCUCCAUUGGGAAGGACUCAAAACCAAGUCUGACCCAGCAAAUGGAAGAACACCAGAAACACCACUGUCUUUUUGCAUUAAGCUUGGUCGAUAAGCAGGAUCCAUCUACAUCAUGAAGUUGAAAAAUAAUCACUACCCUUUGUCCAAGUUGUGUAUCAGUGAUCAAAGAAAGCGAAUGGGGAAAAAAAUGAUCAUACACAGACAAACACUUAGCAGUACGAACGAAUUGCUGAACAGAAGUCAGAAAAUUAACACCACAUGAAUAUGUAAUGCAUUUGACAUACAUGACACUCGAUACCAAACAAGCAAUAAGAUGAAAACCUUUGUAGUUAAGCAAAGUCCCCAUAGCCACUAAGGAUAAGAUAUACGAAGGUGUCACAAAUUUAACAACAUAGUUAAUAGCCUAAAGGUGAAACCAGAGUUUACAGUUCACCAUUAAGGACCACCAACAAAGCCUUCUUUUGGUGAGCUCACUGACCAUUCACACAAAAUAGAAGCCCAUAGUCCCUGUCCAAAAAUGCAUGCUCACUUCUCUCUUGAAACUUGCCAUCGUCUUCUGGACCAUUCUUUCGACUACUUUUCAGUCCAUCUUCGAUAUCAUCAGUAUUCUUGUCAGCUGAUUCGGGCGCAGCAAGCCCGAGAACAGCUCUUAAUGUUUCCGUUUGUUUCUCCUUCCUAGCGGCAAUUUGGUGGGUCUGCGUAUCUGAAACCCUAUUUAAGUAACAAAAUUUACAGUUAACGCUAAUCAACUUUUAAUCACAUUCUUGCUUUGCAAAACCUCAUUCGAAUCCAUACGACAUUACUUAGAAAUACAAGAGAAUGUCAUUCAAAAUGCAAGAUUUUUCUGCAACUUCCAAACUUCCAACAACAAAAAGAGCGAGCAAACUUGCUUCUUAUCGGAAACAACAACAGCGCCGGGUCCACCACGCUCCUCUUAAGCCGCGGCAGCUUCGAGAGUCUUCCGAGCCUCGUCAAGCUUCUCGGCGAUCUCAGCGUCGGUAAACCCUGAUCGAUGAGCUUAUCUUCGAGCACGACGAGCUUGAGCUCAAUAUGGCGCUUGCGAUCAUGCUCGAGGAUGUCUCUGUUGGGCUUCUUGGUGACGGCGCCGGUGCCGAAGCCGCGGGAAGAGUCGGCGACCUUCCCGGUCCUCGAUUUGAUGGAGAACUUGUUGGUCUGGAUGUAGCCAUUCGUCCCCGAACCCCUCGGAAUCUGUAACCCUAUUCCGUUGUACAUCUCGCCCCUUCGGAACCCUAGAUUCGAAACUUAACGGAUGUAAAUCGAGCAGAAGCAGAAGCAAAAGAGGAAGAAGGUGUUUGGUGAACGAAGAAUUGCGAGGGAUUGAUAUUUGGGGAAACAAACGGAAAGUUGAUUACCGCCCUCCCUCUCUCUCUCUCUCUGCUUGCCGCCACGGGGGGGGGGGGUGGGGUACAAACGGAAACUUGAUUAUCGCCCUCCGGCCCUCUGAAAUCCUUCGAAAAUCCUAUGCCCAAUAACCCUCGGCCGACCCUGUGAAAUCCUACUCAUUUUCGACACGUGUCCACCACUUAACAAUGCUAACUUCCAAAAUUGGAAGAAAAAAAAAACGAAAAAACCUUUUGAUGAGUUAAAAAAAUCAUUGCUGCAAUUGAGUUGAAGAACCAUUGUUACAAUUUACUCAGCAUAUAGUUGACUAUUGGAUUGAUUUUAACAACGCAGCACAGAUUAACAAAAUAUGAACUCUGCUAUGGACCAAGAUUAUCUGCUCUCCCAUUUUCCAUCCACUUCCAACCCCUCGUACUUUUCCAGGUCACGUGACUCACAUCAGCAAAUUUAACGAAUUGACUAUUGAUUGUAUGAUAUUUAAAUAAAAUAAUAAAUAAUAUAUAAAAUUGAAAUGUUUUAAAAAUAAUGUAUAAAGUUGUAAAGCACAAGAUAACUUACACUAUUAUUAUUAAAAAUUAUAAAAGAGUAGGUAAAUAAAUAAAAUUUGCCUUGAAACUCUUUGACUCAUCUUUCUUGAAAAGACAAUUCUUAAUCAUUUCAAAUUAACUAUAAACACUUUACCAAACAAAGAAAAAAUAAAUAAAUAAACUAUAAACACUGCUUAGAUCCUCUUUAUAUCUCCUAAUCAAGUGAUUUCGGCAUAUCAUGUCAGAUGCUAUCUUCUGAAAACAAACAACAAAAAUUUCAAUCUUAACAGUUAUCAGUUGGUAUGCAUUGCUAUUGGCUUACAUGUAUUCUACGUACAAAGGAACUCGAGUGAAAUUUUUGCCCCCUUCUGCGGCGGGGGCACCAAAACUAGUUCACACCGCUAAACCCUGAACCCUGAAUUUCAAUGGGCGUAGAUGUCGAGAGUAGUUGUAGGACAGAUCAACCACUGAACCCGUAUUACGUAUGGAACAAUAUCAGCUUCCACCUAGAUUGUAAUGAACAAAAUCGCCGGGCUACUAGAGCCCAACCCAGUAUGAACGUCCGUUGCUGUUGUGAAUUGGCGAAGUGGAGGGCGAUGCCACGCACCAUUCGUACCAAACCUGCAUCACCAUCACCAUUCCAUAGAAACUCAUUCAGAGGCUUAUUUUUCAUCGAAAACUGUAAACAUACAAAAGAGAUGCAGAGGCACAGUAUUCGUUUGCUCAAAUGUUAUGCCUUUGGAUAAUGCCCUCAAUUCCUUGUAAACAAGAAAGAAUAUUACCUUGGUAGGACAACAACACCGCCAAAAAUGUACGUCAAGAGAAGCGCCAGGACUAAGCGUAAUUGGUAUCCUUAGUGGGAAAAAUAUUGGGAACCUGGGGGUAACAAUGAACAGCACGUAAGCCAUACAACUACCACAUAAGUUUUAGCCAUCAUGUGUUUACCACUUAAAGAACAAGUAACCAUCAAAAGAUAACAGAACUUGGGGAAAAUUGAAUAUUUCAACAAGAACUAAGAUGAAAAAGGAUAAGACGGAGUACAUACCAGCUAAACAUGUUUGGUGUUGAUGUUGAUGGUUCAAUGCCAAGAUGAACUUCUUUGUAUAGUGUUGCAUCAAAAUAGCCAGCAAAUCCUGAAGGUUUAGAAAAGAGAGAUUUUAUUGACUCGAAAAAUAGGCCCAAUGAGUCAAUCAAGUUAACAAUAGGCAACAUACUGACAAAUUUUUUCAUUCAAGAAUAUUAAUCACCUAAAGAAAAAUUAUGCCGCCACAUACCAUGAAUCAUGGCUGAGCCAGUAUCACUUGUUAUUCCAAACUGCAACUUCGUGUGCUGGUUAUUGCUUUUGUCAGUUGAGCGAUUUGGAUGAUCAAACGUGAACACCUAACAAAAAAAUCCAGUGUUCGUGACUAAAUGAUUGCUGAAUAAUGACUCCCUAUACAAUCAAAUUCAUAAAAUUAAUUAUCAAAUCAGUCCAGUGAGAAAGCUCACAGGUUGAGGAGGAGCAAGUCUUGCAAUGUUGUGCAAUUUAACAACAUAAGCAGUUUCGAAGUGUGCAAUAUCUUUGUGCGACUUAACCUGAAAGAUAACCACAAAACUUUACAAAGGAAUCCUCAAACAGAUAGAAAUGAACAUCUUUGGGCACAAAGACACAGGCAUACAUCAUUGUAAAGCUUUGAAGCAGUCACUGGUUGGAUAAAACUCGUGUACCUGAAAACAGGCGCAUAGGCUUUUUAGAGAGGACGCUAAUGGAGAAAACUCCAAAAAUAGCUUUCAAAAGGAAGUAUUGAUGUUGAACAUUUAGACACCAUGAAAUCUGGACAAUAUCACGACAAGAUAUCGCAAUGUCGAUAAUGACUUUUGGACAGAUCAUAACUGGGAAGCACCUUUGAUAUAAAAAAAAUACAAAAUAAAGAAAAGUAUACAUACGAUGAAGGUAUCGAGAUUCCAUCAUCCUUCAAUAGUCUCUGGGCUCCAUCAAGGCACUCAGGAGACAGCUCGUUAUCACCAAAAGAACCCAACAAUUCACUAACCUAUUAUGCAAUCAAAGGCAAUUUUAAUAAGGAAACCAAAAAACAAAACAUGACUAUUCAUAAGAUUACUUGCAUACCAAAAUGUCAGCUUUCUCUGGAGCAUCCCAGUGACGCAUAUCACAUGAAAUUAUGGAAACAAUGUUUUCCCACCCCUCCAGUUUAACCAAGCUCUGCUCCAACAAAUAUAGACAAGUCAAAAUAAAAAAUGUGGACCAUGAAAAAACAAGGAAAGUCUACUUCAAACAAAUACCCACAAUAACACUUUUUUUGUGUUAAUGUGCAUGAUGAGUUGCACAUCCUAGAAACAUAAUUUUACAACUUAGCAGAGAAAGAAACAAGAUAAAGAGAGAAUUUGCAACUCACAUGAAGUGUAACAACUGCAUUUGGAUUUUUUUCAACAGCGUAGACUUUAAGCUUGCGCCCAGUUUCUUCAGCUGCCUACAUGAGGAAUUGGAUCCACAUCAAUAUGACCUGCUCCAUGUAACAUCGAGUCUGAAGAUAAACAACAUAAUCCAAAAACAAGUAUGCAGAAGGAAGAGAAGGCACCUGCAAUGAUGCCCUUACAAGAGGUCCACGUCCUGCUCCUACAACCAUCAAUACCUUAACACAAAUGCAAAUAUCACAUACGCAAUGUCAGGAUAUUUUGUCAUCAAACUUAAUAAAACACCAUUCAUGAGAAAAUUGGGAAAGCAAAGUGACAAGUGAGCAGCUUACGGUAGUUACUGAAGAUGCCUUAUCAUCUGGAACCCUGUCCUGUAAAGCUCUACAAAUUGCUCUUUGGUACUAACAAAGAUAAAAACAAACUAUUACAAUUGUGAUCAAUAUAAAGUAAUAAGCAUUACUAUGUCUUCCUUUUCAGAAGCCUUGGUCCCUACAAGAAGAAAAAGAAAAAGGAAAAAUAAACACAGUCCAAUGUUUUGUUGAUGUAUUUAAAUAUGAUUAUGAUUUAACUUAAUUAUAUUGUUGACAUGCAAAUUGCAGAUUAGAAAAUAACAAUGUAAAAAUAUCUGAAAUGACCAUUUAUGCAGUUAUUUGCAAAUGCAGGCAUACCUGAAUAUAUUUCAUUGUGUCCUUCUCAAAUGUCUCAUAGGUUUGAGCUUCUAGAUUAUCCAUGAGAGGCUGCAUUAGAAUAGCAGAGUUAGCCUAACUUGUAUUUGAUUACAAGAGGAUGGAAAAUCACAUUUAAAAAUGAAAAUGUAGGAAAAGAGCGAUUAAGGUAUGUACUAAGCAAAAGAUAAUAAUACAAUCACUUGGGAAAUAACAGUACCUGUAAGGGUGACUGCAAGUAAUCCCUGUAACCAAUCUGCCAUAAGAGACUU
rnacentral:lncRNA from 1 species